rnacentral:rRNA from 1 species
CGAACGCUGGCGGCGUGCUUAACACAUGCAAGUCGAACGCGAAAGUUUCUUUCGGGAAGCGAGUAGAGUGGCGCACGGGUGAGUAACGCGUAAGUAAUCUACCCUGGUAUCUGGGAUAACCCACCGAAAGGUGUGCUAAUACCGGAUACGCUGAUUUAUCAGGAAAGGUGGCCUCUUCAUGAAAGCUACCGUACCAGGAGGAGCUUGCGUACCAUUAGCUAGUUGGUAGGGUAAAGGCCUACCAAGGCGACGAUGGUUAGCGGGUCUGAGAGGAUGAUCCGCCACACUGGAACUGGAACACGGACCAGACUCCUACGGGAGGCAGCAGUGAGGAAUAUUGCGCAAUGGGGGAAACCCUGACGCAGCGACGCCGCGUGGAUGAUGAAGGCCUUCGGGUCGUAAAAUCCUGUCAGAUGGGAAGAAGUGCUAUAUGUUUAAUAAACCUAUAGUUUGACGGUACCAUCAAAGGAAGCACCGGCUAACUCC